CAAUGCCGCGUGUGUGAAGAAGGCUUUCGGGUUGUAAAGCACUUUCAGUGAGGAAGAACGCCUCGGGGCUAAUACCCCCGAGGAAGGACAUCACUCACAGAAGAAGCACCGGCUAACUCCGUGCCAGCAGCCGCGGUAAUACGGAGGGUGCAAGCGUUAAUCGGAAUUACUGGGCGUAAAGCGCGCGUAGGUGGCCUGAUAAGCCGGUUGUGAAAGCCCCGGGCUCAACCUGGGAACGGCAUCCGGAACUGUCAGGCUAGAGUGCAGGAGAGGAAGGUAGAAUUCCCGGUGUAGCGGUGAAAUGCGUAGAGAUCGGGAGGAAUACCAGUGGCGAAGGCGGCCUUCUGGACUGACACUGACACUGAGGUGCGAAAGCGUGGGUAGCAAACAGGAUUAGAUACCCUGGUAGUCCACGCCGUAAACGAUGUCGACUAGCCGUUGGGGUCCUAGAGACCUUUGUGGCGCAGUUAACGCGAUAAGUAGACCGCCUGGGGAGU
rnacentral:rRNA from 1 species